UUUUUUUUUGAAAAACGUACUAACCCAUAAAUCUUCGUCUCGUCGCCCACUUCCCAUCCGAAACCCCUAAGUGCCACGUCACAAUUAUCGCAUCAACGGAACGGAACCCCUUUUCUUCCAGUGUACCGAGCAUUUUGGAGCAAACUUUUCAUAUUGUGUUAAUCCGCGAAAAAGGAGGAAGACGAGCGUGGAAGGAAAAAGGAGAAGACAGGCUCAUUUCACACAACAGGGGUCCGCCGUUCAAGGCAGCUGGUGCAACUAUUUUGACAACACCUGCCACGUGGUCAU
ensembl:ncRNA F56A12.10 ncRNA